rnacentral:rRNA from 1 species
UGCUUUAUAGCAAUAUAAGGCAUGGCAAACGGGAGAGUAACACAUUGGUAACCUACCCUGAAGACGAGAAUACCCUCGAGAAAUCGGGAAUAAUACUCGAUAAUAGUGAGGGGGCACAAGCCAUUCUCACUUAAAACUUCGGUGCUUCAGGAGGGACCUAUGGCCUAUCAGCUAGUUGGUAAGGUAAUGGCUUACCAAGGCUACGACGGGUAACGGGUGUGAGAGCAUGACCCGUCUCAUUGGGACUGAGACAAUGCCCAGACUCCUACGGGAGGCUGCAGUCGAGAAUCUUCCUCAAUGGCCGAAAGGCUGAAGGAGCGACGCCACGUGCAUGAAGAAGCCCUUCGGGGCGUAAAGUGCUUUUAAUUGGGACGAAUCAAUGACGGUACCAGUUGAAUAAGGGGCUGCUAACCUCGUGCCAGCAGCAGCGGUAAUACGAGGGCCCCAAGCGUUAUCCGGAUUUAUUGGGCGUAAAGAGUCCGUAGGCGGUUUGUCGCAUCUCCUGUUAAAUCCUUCGGCCUAACCGAGGGGCAGCGGGAGAGAUGGAUAAACUAGAGACCGGAAAAAGUAAGCGGAAUUGCUGGUGUAGGGAUUAAAUCCGUUAAUAUCAGCAAGAACACCAAAUGCGAAGGCAGCUUACUGGGACGGUUCUAACGCUAAAGGACGAAAGCGUGGGUAGCGAAUGGGAUUAGAUACCCCAGUAGUCCACGCCGUAAACGAUGGAUGCUAAGCAUUGAGAGUAUCGACCCUUUCAGUGCUGUUAAUUUAAGGUAACCCGUUAAGCAUCCCGCCUGGGGAGUACGAGCGCAAGCUUAAAACUCAAAGGAAUAGACGGGGACCCGCACAAGCGGUGGAGCAUGUGGUUUAAUUCGACGGUAAACGAAACCUCACCAAGGUUUGACAUCAGGCUGCACGCCCUGGAAACAGGGAAUCCUUCGAGGGUGCCUGACAGAUGCUGCAUGGUUGUCGUCAGCUCGUGUCGUGAGAUGUACCGUUAAGUCGGAAAACGAGCGCAACCCUUAUCCUGUGUUUUAUUUGUCUCAGGAGACUGCCCGUUUUAAAUGGGAGGAAGGUGGGAUGACGUCAAAUCAGCAUGGUUCUUACACCUUGGGCUACACACGUGCUACAAUGGGAAUUACAAAGGGCUCCAAGCCGUAAGGCGGAGCAAAUCCCUAAAAAGUUCUCUCAGUUCGGAUUGAGGUCUGCAAUUCGACCUCAUGAAGCUGGAAUCGCUAGUAAUCGUGGAUCAGCUAUGCCACGGUGAAUACGUUCUCGGGUCUUGUACUCACCGCCCGUCAAGUCAAGGGAGUCGGCAGUACCCGAAGGCCCCCGCC